rnacentral:rRNA from 1 species
GACGAACGCUGGCGGCGUGCCUAAUACAUGCAAGUCGAGCGGACAGACGGGAGAUUGCUACCUGAUGUUAGCGGCGGACGGGUGAGUAACACGUGGGUAACCUGCCUGUAAGACUGGGAUAACUCCGGGAAACCGGGGCUAAUACCGGAUAGUUGUCUGAACCGCAUGGUUCAGACAUAAAAGGUGGCUUAGUCUACCACUUACAGAUGGACCCGCGGCGCAUUAGCUAGUUGGUGAGGUAACGGCUCACCAAGGCAACGAUGCGUAGCCGACCUGAGAGGGUGAUCGGCCACACUGGGACUGAGACACGGCCCAGACUCCUACGGGAGGCAGCAGUAGGGAAUCUUCCGCAAUGGACGAAAGUCUGACGGAGCAACGCCGCGUGAGUGAUGAAGGUUUUCGGAUCGUAAAGCUCUGUUGUUAGGGAAGAACAAGUGCCGGUCAAAUAGGGCGGCAACUUGACGGUACCUAACCAGAAAGCCACGGCUAACUACGUG